GAUGAGGAGGGAUUUCCUAAUUAAAAUUUACAGCCUAAAUGGAGAAUCUGAUUCUAGGUGAAGAAAAGAAGAAAAAUAACUAUAAAUUACAAAAACAUAGUAUGAGCCAGAUCCUCACCAUCUACUGAUGUAAGUUAGCAAAACUCCAUUUAAUGUAACUACCUUCAUUUACGUUGAAUCUUCUACGUACAGUCAAAACAUAUGUACUAUCUGUUAAAGUGCUUACCUUCAUUUUUUCUUCUCUUGAGGUACUCUUUACAUCGGGGAAUGCAGAUUACAGCAGGAGUUAACCUCAGCUUUCCCGAAAACUGUCAUCUGAUAUGAGUCCAAAUUGAUGGCAUCCAUUUUCAGAAAGCAGAUGCUGCCCUCUUUUGCAUUGGUGCAAUUCCGGAAAAGAACCACGUCAGUGAAGUACUUCCAAACUUAUCUCCAAUGAAAGCAAAAUUGGACCACAGUCUCAUCAUUUGCUUACAUGCGUUGGUGCUCUAGGAAGGUGCACUACUACCACACUCUUUCUCCUGCAGAUUUCUAUGUUGAAGAGGAAAGCUUCCAAUCCAGGGAUUACAAACAGUGAGUAAGCCAGUGGAGAUAUGAAGGCUGGCUUAUGGUUUUCCAAAAAAUCAUAGCAAAUACUGAUUUCUUGAAGUUUGGUAAGUCAGAGAAUCUGUAAAUUAGAUAAUUUACAGGAAGAGACAGAUAUCUGCAAGAGCUGUGCUAAGUGAAACUAUGACAAGUUGUUACAUUUUAUUGUGUGGUGUAUAAUCACAGCAAGGUUUACUGUUUUGAUUCUCCUCUUAGUUUUAUAUUGUUGGAUUUGAUUGGGAUGUUGCUUACAAUGGAGAUGUUCCACUGACAGAAUGGAGAGGAAGUACAGAGGACAUAUUCAAUAUCUGAGAUCUUGGAUCUCAUUUUUUUUCACUGUGUACAUUAAUAAUUCAACAAAUGUUUAGAAAUUGUAAAAUACAGUCGUAGAAUCAUAAUACGGUUUCAAAAUCACUGAUUUGAAAGGGACCCUUAAAGGCCACCUGGUCCAACCCCCUUGCAAUGAAUAGCAAAACCUACAGCUUGAUCAGGUGCUCGUGCAGCCUGACUUUGAGUGUCUCCUAGGAUGGGGCAUCUAGCACCUCUUUGGGCAACCUGUGCCAAACUUGUUAGCAUGAACUGCUCUGAACUCAACCUACUGAGAGCAAGUCAACAGGCACUUGGAUUCCUACUGCUAUCACCAUCUGCUUGAAACAGGCCUUCAGAGCUGCCUCCACAGCCCCAACUCUCAUGUAGAGAAAAAGGGCCUACAAAUUUCCUGAUAGCAAAAAAUCCAUGCUCCUCUAUGGUUUCUAAAUUUAUUUACUAAGACCCCUUAAUAGUGAACAAGACUCUUCUUGCACUAAAUAAAUUGCAUGGUUAAGGUAUGUAACGUCAACUGCAUGUCCAAAGUGAGGAUUAUGUAAAAACAGUCUCAAUAAUUAAAAUGAAUAUAGCAUAAACAGGUUUUUUGUUUGAGUUUACCAUGAUGCAUUUUCUUGAAGUGUUUGAAAAUCCAAAAGCACAAGUCUAAAUGUUUCUGAUCUCCUUUCAACAAAUGUUCUAUACAAACAAAGCAACUGCAUGAA